rnacentral:tRNA from 1 species
GCUUGCGUAGCUCAAUGGUAGAGCAAUCGGCUGUUAACCGAUAGGCUGUAGGUUCGAGCCCUACCGCAAGCG